rnacentral:rRNA from 1 species
AUUGAACGCUGGCGGCAUGCCUUACACAUGCAAGUCGAACGGUAACGGGCCUUCGGGUGCCGACGAGUGGCGAACGGGUGAGUAAUACAUCGGAACGUGCCCGAUCGUGGGGGAUAACGAGGCGAAAGCUUUGCUAAUACCGCAUACGAUCUACGGAUGAAAGCAGGGGACCGCAAGGCCUUGCGCGGACGGAGCGGCCGAUGGCAGAUUAGGUAGUUGGUGGGAUAAAAGCUUACCAAGCCGACGAUCUGUAGCUGGUCUGAGAGGAUGAUCAGCCACACUGGGACUGGGGCACGGCCCAGACUCCUAAGGGAGGCAGCAGUGGGGAAUUUUGGACAAUGGGCGCAAGCCUGAUCCAGGCAAGCCGCGUGCAGGAUGAAGGCCUUCGGGUUGUAAACUGGUUUUGGACGGAACGAAAAGCCUUCUUUUAAUACAGGAGGGUCAUGACGGUACCGGAAGAAUAAGCACCGGCUAACUACGUG